UGAUUGCUUCGGUUACCAUGGCGAUCCAAUUUGCAAAACAUACAAAUUCUCUUUUCUUCAAAUAUACUAAGAACCAAACGGACGGGCACGUAGGCAAGUUAAACGAAAAAAACUACCGUUAUUAUACCGUUAUAAAAAACUAUCGUCGUAUUAUCAAUUAGUCAAAGUUUUGUAUAAAUAAUGGCAAAUGAUGUUCUCAGCAACGGUCGUUUACAAGAAAGUACAGUCGUGCAACGAACAAGAAACAACAGAAGCAAGAGAGCUCCGGAUAUAGCAGCUAUAGAAAGUCGUAAUUGGUUGUUACAUCGACAUUACACAAGACAUGAGUACAGCUCGUGCAAGUUACUUAUCGAGCAAGAAUUGGCGAAAUCAAAUGGCCACGAAUAUGCUAAUUAUUUGAAGGGCUUAAUUCUAAGAAAAGAGGGCAAGAUUCAAGAUUCUCUGGAUUGCUUUCAAAUUGCAUACAACGUCAAUUUAACAAAUGUUGAUAACAUUAAACAGAUAGCAAAAUCACUAUUAAUAAUAGGAAGUCAUAAACGUGCGAUAGAUGCAUAUAUGGAAGCUGAAAAGAUAUCUGCUGUACCAGAUUGGGAAAUAUAUCAUGGUCUUGGCGAAGCUUAUGUGAAAUUGAACCAAUUACAAGAGGCUAAAAAACAUUUUAAGAGAUCUACAGAAUUAACCAAAAGGGAAUUGCCCAAUAUUGAUCUCGCAAGAUUGUAUCUCUCGGAUGACAUGAUUCCAGAGGCCAGAAACGCUUAUAUGGUAGCUUUGAAUGGAAAUCCCCAAAGUAUUGAUGCAGCGACCGAAUUGGGUCUCUUGUAUCUUAGAAUUGGAGAUAUGCAACGAGCAUUUCAGCAAUUUGGAGCAGCUUUGGCUUAUUCGUCUAAUUGCGUCAAAGCAAUUUUACCUAUGGCUUAUAUAAUGCAAGCUAUUAGUUCGUUGAAGCGUGCGCAUUAUUUGAACCCGAUGUCUUGCAUUCCGUCAUGCAACCUGGGAAUCGUUUUUCUCACCACUGGCCAACCUGCAUCAGCUGCGAUUUAUCUAUGUGCUGCAAUUAACGCUGAACCAAAGAAUCCUAUACCAUAUCUAUUGUUAGGUUUGGCUUUAAAACGUUUGGAUGAUCUAGAAGGCGCCGAAAGAUCAUUAACGAAAGCACAUGCAUUAGCUCCUCAGGAUCCGUUAAUAUUGAUUAAUUAUGCUGUGGUACUGGAUGCUCAUCGUAAACAAGCUAACGCUACUGAGAUUUUAAUAUUACUUAAUGAUAUUAUGGCUGUUGUUGAAGUCGAUGCACAGAUAUCACAGAUGGCAAAGAAGUUGUCAAAGAAAUUACAACACGAAAGAGCAGAAUUGAAUAUCGAUCAAGAUAUGACAACAGAGGGGCUAUUUCUACGCUAUUUUUCGUCCAGAUGGGAUAUUUUCACCAAUCUUUUUAACUGGUCGGACGAGAGAAUUGUGUUGAGCGGACGCGCGUUCAAAUUGAAAUCAGCUUCUAAGUCUGCGUCUAUUUCUGCGAACUCCCUAAUAAAUUGAGCCAAUGAAAAUCUGAAUGAGAUCGCUGUUCGAACAUCAACUUUGACGGUGACGCCUUAAUACUAGAAUGCUCUAACUAUCUCUUUCGUCGAGGUUGACUUGACUGUGUGCAACCAGGAAAAACGAGAGAAUGCAUCAACAAUUAUUA
rnacentral:misc_RNA from 1 species